rnacentral:ribozyme from 13 species
AGAUAAACAAAAUCCAACUCCCAAAAGAAUGAUUACUAAAACUAAACAAUAGAAAAAGAGGAAAAUUGAGUUUUCUGAUUUUUCUGGUUUUUCGUCGUCUGGAAGACUUUCUUCUUCUUUGUAUUCUUUUGGGCAGGGGACUUGGCGAAAUUCUUUGUCAAAAUAUUUGGAUCCUGAU